AGUGGUUAGAGUGUAGAGGUGGCAGGUAGCCUAGUGGUUAGAGUGUAGAGGUGGCAGGUAGCCUAGUGGUUAGAGUGUAGAGGAGGCAGGUAGCCUAGUGGUUAGACUGUAGAGGUGGCAGGUAGUCUAGUGGUUAGAGUGUAGAGGUGGCAGGUAGCCUAGUGGUUAGAGUGUAGAGGUGGCAGGUAGUCUAGUGGUUAGAGUGUAGAGGAGGCAGGUAGCCUAGUGGUUAGAGUGUAGAGGCGGCAGGUAGUCUAGUGGUUAGAGUGUAGAGGCGGCAGGUAGCCUAGUGGUUAGAGUGUAGAGGCGGCAGGUAGUCUAGUGGUUAGAGUGUAGAGGCGGCAGGUAGUCUAGUGGUUAGAGUGUAGAGGCGGCAGGUAGUCUAGUGGUUAGAGUGUAGAGGUGGCAGGUAGUCUAGUGGUUAGAGUGUAGAGGCGGCAGGUAGUCUAGUGGUUAGAGUGUAGAGGCGGCAGGUAGUCUAGUGG
ensembl:lncRNA